rnacentral:rRNA from 1 species
AUGCAUGGCGUUCGUACGUUUACCAAUCGCUGCUUGCGCUACAGAGAGGUGAUGGCAUGGCGUUCUUCGUGGGGUCUUACCCGCCGAGCAUGCCCACGGACGCGACGGGCGGGUACCUCGCGCUGUACAACAACCGCGACAACCCGGCCAACACCGACUUCCCGCCGACCGUCGGCGUGGAGUUCGACUCGUUCAGGAACUUCGGCUGGGACCCCACCGACACCAACUGCCACAUCGGCGUCAACGUCAACAGCAUCAGGUCCAUGGAAUACACGGCGCUGCCGGACGGCAUCUUUAACGGGUUCAUGUCGGCGAAGGUGA